UUAAGUGAAUAAGGGCGCACGGUGGAUGCCUUGGCACUAGGAGCCGAUGAAGGACGGGACUAACACCGAUAUGCUUUGGGGAGCUGUAAGUAAGCUAUGAUCCAGAGAUUUCCGAAUGGGGGAACCCAGCAUCUUUUAUAGGAUGUUACGUCUGCGUGAAUACAUAGCGCAGUCGAGGUAGACGCAGAGAACUGAAACAUCUAAGUACCUGCAGGAAGAGAAAGAAAAUUCGAUUCCCUGAGUAGCGGCGAGCGAAACGGGAAAAGCCCAAACCAACAAGCUUGCUUGUUGGGGUUGUAGGACUCCGAUAUGGUAGUCUAUUCAGAUAGUCGAAAUACUUGGAAAAGUAUGUCAAAGAGGGUAAAAACCCCGUAGGCGAAAUUUGGAUAACACCUAGGAGGAUCCUGAGUACGGCGGAACACGAGGAAUUCCGUCGGAAUCCGGGAGGACCAUCUCCCAAGGCUAAAUACUCCCUAGUGACCGAUAGUGAACCAGUACCGUGAGGGAAAGGUGAAAAGCACCCCGGAAGGGGAGUGAAAUAGAUCCUGAAACCGUGUGCCUACAACAAGUUAGAGCCCGUUAAUGGGUGAUAGCGUGCCUUUUGUAGAAUGAACCGGCGAGUUACGAUAGCAUGCGAGGUUAAGUUGAAGAGACGGAGCCGUAGCGAAAGCGAGUCUGAAUAGGGCGAAUGAGUAUGUUGUCGUAGACCCGAAACCAUGUGAUCUACCCAUGUCCAGGUUGAAGGUGCGGUAAAACGCACUGGAGGACCGAACCCACGUACGUUGAAAAGUGCGGGGAUGAGGUGUGGGUAGCGGAGAAAUUCCAAACGAACUUGGAGAUAGCUGGUUCUCUCCGAAAUAGCUUUAGGGCUAGCCUCGGAAUUGAGAAUGAUGGAGGUAGAGCACUGUUUGGACUAGGGGCCCAUCUCGGGUUACCGAAUUCAGAUAAACUCCGAAUGCCAUUCAUUCAUAUCCGGGAGUCAGACUGUGAGUGAUAAGAUCCAUAGUCGAAAGGGAAACAGCCCAGACCACCAGCUAAGGUCCCCAAAUAACUAUUAAGUGGAAAAGGAUGUGGGGUUGCACAGACAACUAGGAUGUUGGCUUAGAAGCAGCCACCAUUUAAAGAGUGCGUAAUAGCUCACUAGUCGAGUGACCCUGCGCCGAAAAUGUACCGGGGCUAAAUAGUUUACCGAAGCUGUGGAGUGCACCAUUAGGUGCAUUGGUAGGAGAGCGUUCUAAGGGCGUUGAAGGCAGAUCGUGAGGACUGCUGGAGCGCUUAGAAGUGAGAAUGCCGGUAUGAGUAGCGAAAGACAGGUGAGAAUCCUGUCCACCGAAUGACUAAGGUUUCCUGGGGAAGGCUCGUCCGCCCAGGGUUAGUCGGGACCUAAGCCGAGGCCGACAGGCGUAGGCGAUGGACAACAGGUUGAUAUUCCUGUACCCGUUGUUUUUGUUUGAGCAAUGGAGGGACGCAGGAGGCUAAGAAGUGCAGACUGAUGGAUAUGUCUGUUCAAGCAGUAAGUCUUGGUAGGAGUCAAAUGCUUCUACCUAUACGGACAAGCUGUGAUGAGGAGGGAAAUAAUAGUACCGAAGCUUCUGAUGUCACACUGCCAAGAAAAGCUUCUAGUGAGAAAACAACGGCCCGUACCGCAAACCGACACAGGUAGUCGAGGAGAGAAUCCUAAGGUGAGCGAGAGAACUCUCGUUAAGGAACUCGGCAAAAUGACCCCGUAACUUCGGGAGAAGGGGUGCUGCUCUAACGAGCAGCCGCAGUGAAUAGGCCCAAGCGACUGUUUAUCAAAAACACAGGUCUCUGCAAAAUCGAAAGAUGACGUAUAGGGGCUGACGCCUGCCCGGUGCUGGAAGGUUAAGAGGAGUGCUUAGCGUAAGCGAAGGUACGAAUUGAAGCCCCAGUAAACGGCGGCCGUAACUAUAACGGUCCUAAGGUAGCGAAAUUCCUUGUCGGGUAAGUUCCGACCCGCACGAAAGGCGUAACGAUUUGGGCACUGUCUCAACGAGAGACUCGGUGAAAUUUUAGUACCUGUGAAGAUGCAGGUUACCCGCGACAGGACGGAAAGACCCCAUGGAGCUUUACUGUAGUUUGAUAUUGAGUGUCUGUACCGCAUGUACAGGAUAGGUAGGAGCCGUAGAGAUCGGGACGCCAGUUUCGAUGGAGGCAAUGGUGGGAUACUACCCUUGCGUUAUGGCCACUCUAACCCGCAGCCCUUAUCGGGCUGGGAGACAGUGUCAGAUGGGCAGUUUGACUGGGGCGGUCGCCUCCUAAAAGGUAACGGAGGCGCCCAAAGGUUCCCUCAGAAUGGUUGGAA
rnacentral:rRNA from 2 species